rnacentral:rRNA from 1 species
CCUACGGGGGUCAGCAGUCGAGAAUCAUUCACAAUGGGGGAAACCCUGAUGGUGCGACGCCGCGUGGGGGAAUGAAGGUCUUCGGAUUGUAAACCCCUGUCAUGUGGGAGCAAAUUAAAAAGAUAGUACCACAAGAGGAAGAGACGGCUAACUCUGUGCCAGCAGCCGCGGUAAUACAGAGGUCUCAAGCGUUGUUCGGAAUCACUGGGCGUAAGGCGUGCGUAGGCUGUUUCGUAAGUCGUGUGUGAAAGGCGCGGGCUCAACCCGCGGACGGCACAUGAUACUGCGAGACUAGAGUAAUGGAGGGGGAACCGGAAUUCUCGGUGUAGCAGUGAAAUGCGUAGAUAUCGAGAGGAACACUCGUGGUGAAGGCGGGUUCCUGGACAUUAACUGACGCUGAGGCACGAAGGCCAGGGGAGCGAAAGGGAUUAGAUACCCCUGUAGUC